ACUCCUACGGGAGGCAGCAGUGGGGAAUAUUGCACAAUGGGGGAAAUCCUGAUGCAGCCAUGCCGCGUGAAUGAAGAAGGCCUUCGGGUUGUAAAGCACUUUCAGUGGGGAGGAAGGGCAUCAGGUUAAUACCUUGGUGUUUUGACGUUACCCACAGAAUAAGCACCGGCUAACUUCGUGCCAGCAGCCGCGGUAAUAC
rnacentral:rRNA from 1 species